AUCUCAUAAGUCAAAUGUCAUAAAACAUGUUGUGGAAUAAUAAUAAGGUCAAAGUACAAUCCCAUGGAUCCCAAAAUGUGGAAAUCAUAUGUGUGUGUGAUGCGCUACUACUGUGCCAGCUCCUUACCCUUCAAUGAAGAGGUACCUGAAAACAAAACUAAAAACUGUAAGCACGAAACUUAGUGAGUUCCCUCAUCAUACAACAUACCGUAUAACAAACAUACCGCCAGUCAAUUCUGGGGUUCCUGACCUACCCAUGUCAAGCCAUUCUAGGGUGCUUGACUUACUUAGGUCAAGCCAUUCUGGGGUGCUUGACUUACUUAGGUCAAGCCAUUCUGGGGUGCUUGACUUACCCAUAUCAAGCCAUUCUGGGGUGCUUGAAUUAUCCGUCGGUUUAUCUCAACCGACUACUGGGGACUAUUCCCCCUACCACUACCACAUAAUAACAUAACAUAAAUAUAUACUGUUAGGCAUGCAUGGGUACUCACUACCCCUUUAGUAUCUUUCAACCGGUAUCCGAGGAAUAUUUCACCCCUACUACUACUAACACAUAUAACAGAUCAUCCUAGCACAUAAAGCAUAUUAGAUCGUGGCAAACCAGAGAAUUAUCACAAAGACAAUCAUCUCAGAUAUAAUCACCUGCUGGUGGGCCGGUAUUGGUGCCUUAGACCCACCUCUACUGGAAGGUAACUCACCUCGUAAAGCUGAGUGUCGAAUCUCACAGAAAGUGAUGUCAAACAUUUGCUCCGAUGACUCCCGACUAUCAUAAUCAUAAUGACACUCAAUCAGAAUCUAUAACACUACUUAGGGUAAAAUGACCAUCUUACCCCCUUGGCCUAAAUUGCACCAUUCAUAAGGCCCAAUGCUAACUUAUUAAAUCUAAUGCACCCAUGGCCCAUCAAAGGCUCCUAAGGGCCCACUAAUGGAUCAAUUUUCUAAAUUGGGCCCAACCCUUCAAAUGGGCUUUUUCACAAUUCUAAUAAGUCCUUAGCCCAAAAUGAAAUAAUCUUGAAUGGCCUAAAAGGCCCAAUACUUCUAAUUCCAAAUUCCCAGGCCCAGAACUAUACUCCACAGUGGGCCAUAGGUCCCAAUAGUCUAGGCCCAGUCCCCUAAGGCCCAAAAGGCCCAAUAUAGCCACUCUGCAUUCGUACGUGUGGCGUACCUGGCACGUACGCCUAGUGUACGCUGGCCUUGACCAAAACGGGGAGUUGACCCAA
rnacentral:lncRNA from 1 species